rnacentral:rRNA from 1 species
AAUUCUAAAAUUAUUUAUUUUAUUAAAUUUUAAUUAAAUUUUAUUUUAUAACUGUAAAGUUUAUAUAAAAAUAUACAAAAGAAAUUUAUUAUUCCUUUAGUAUCAGGAAUCUUCAAUUUUUUUUUUUUAUUAAUUAUUCCUGAAAGUAGAUCAGUUAUAAAUUUAUUUAAUAUUGUAACAAAAAUAUUAUUAAUAAAUUUAUUGAAAUGACACUUUAUUCGAAUCUACUAAUAUCCGGUUUCCUUUAAUUUUUUAAUAAAUAAUUAUAUUUAAAAAGAUAAAUUUUUAAAUUUAUUUUAAAAUAAAUUAAAUUUAAUUAGGAAUAAAAGUUUCCAAAAAGUUUCACAACUAAAAUUUUAUUUAAUUAAAUUUUAUAAAAAGGAUAACUUCUAUUAAUUAAAAAAAUGAAAAUAUUAGUAAAUAUAUUUAAUUAUAAUUUAUAAAUUAAGCAAUAAACUGAAUGACUGUUUACCAAAAACAUUUCUUAUAGAAAUUUUUAUAAGUAAUACCUGCUCAAUGAAUAAUUUUUAAUAGCCGCGGAAAUUUAACUAUGCUAAGGUAGCAUAAUCAUUAGCCUCUUAAUUAGAGGCUUGUAUGAAUGGUAAAACAUUUCAAUUUCUUUAUUAAUUUUAAUUCUUUAAUUUAAAUUAAGAAUAAAAAUGUUUCUUAUAAAUAAAAAAGACGACAAGACCCUUUUGAACUUUACUUUAGUUUAGCUGGGGCAGCUAUUAAAUAAUUAUCUUUUUCUAAUUUAUUAAAUAAAUGACCUAAUAUAAUUAAUUAUUUGAACAAGUUACCAUAGGGAUAACAGCGUAAUAUUUUUCUAAAGUUCUUAUUUAAAAAAGUGAUUACGACCUCGAUGUUGAAUUAAUGUAACUAUAUAGAUGCAAUAAUCUUAAAAGUAGGUCUGUUCGACCUUUAAAUCAUUACAUGAUUUGAGUUCAAAUCGGUGUAAACCAGAUUGGUUUCUAUCUUUUAUAUUUAUUUAUUUAGUACGAAAGGACCAAUAAAUUUAUUUUUAAU